GAGAUGGUCAAGUCUUUUCAUGAUUCCUGAAACCAUAGAAUCACAUAGUACAGACACCAUUCGAGUUCAAAAACAUGAUGAUGCUGGAGGAACUCAGCAGGCCAGGCAGCAUCCGUGGAGAAAAGCAGACAGUCAACGUUUCAGAAGCAGUUUGUCUUCAGUGUGAUGUUCCAGUGACAGAAGAUAUCUUUCUCGGAACCUUUUUCAGAAAGAGGCUGGGAGGUGAUAGGUGCAGGCGACAAAGGGCUGACUCCAAAAGGAAGGCGGAGCAUGGAAUCAGGUGGAUUUAAAACAUCCCAUGCUGGUUUUUUGAAGAACAGCAGGAUAUUAUUCCUGGGAUCCUGGCCAAAUCUCAUCCUUCAUUUUGCAUUAUUGGAAAGUUAUAUGUCAACACUGUUAUGCUCUGUUUGAGAGAUUGAUGUAUUGUCUGCCACAAUUCCUAUAUCCUAAAAUGCUUCAAAAAUAACUAAAUUGCUGUAAAGCAUUUCAAAACAUCAUGAAAGGGAGUUAAAAAAACAUUAUACAUCAAUGCAGAUUUUACUUUUCCAUCCUUCAAAAUAUUAACACCAAAUCUGGCAAACAAAAUCAAAAACUUGCAGAUGCAAGAAAUCUGAAAUAAAAACACAAGUUACAUAAGUUAAUGUUUCAGGGCAAAGAACAAGCAUUUUCUGUUUUUAUAUUGGUAUACACAUUUAAAAAAUAAAUAUAAUUGAUAGAAAUUAAACUUACAGCCAAGAUUUCUGUCUUAUGUUCAUGAAUCACUUUUAAAAUUUCUUUAGCACUAUUGUUAGCUUGGCAGCCAAGAGCACAGCAGGUUAAUAAGAUAACGCCGAUGUAGAACAUUUUCUUUAAAGUGAUGGAGGAGUAUUUCUUCCACGCCAUCUCUUGUUAUCAUAACAUAGGUUCAAUCUUUUUAUACCUUCACAUCGGAAAUGUACCUGUCACUUUAAAAUUUAUCUGUGAGUGUUGCAAAAAAAUAAACCAUCAUCUUUUC